CUGUCCCAGUACUUGGAUGAUAGGCAUGAACCAACAUAUCAAGAUCAGGAACAUGAAGUUUUAAAUAAAUUUAUUAAUAAUAUUUUACCACAGCAGAUAUUUCUUUGGCAGCAGGAAAUGGGAGUUUCUUAUCAAAACAUUUUGGAUAUAAGACCCAACAGAACCUGAACUGGCAAGGUCUGAUCUACAAAGGAUAAAACAUUUCUGUAUAGUACAAGAUGACAGGUGACAAAAUAAAUGAGCAUUUUUUGUUUUAUCUAUUAUGCUGUUCUCUGUGAUAGAGCAGAAGCCAUGUACAUCUUGAUAAAUUCUCGAUGUUAGAGCCACAAAAUUGACCCCUUAUGCAACAAGUCCUCCUUGACACUUCAUCAGCAGCAUCAAAGCAGAAUAUGACAUGUGUUUUGCUCUCAAGGAAGUUAUUAUAUAAUUAGGUUCAUCCAAUGAGAGACCAUGAAAGAGAGAUUACAAGGCAAUCUGCAUGACUUUUAUGCUUUUGUAAAGCAAGCCGUGUUGGAAUAAUUAAUGGAAUUAGCUUGACUCCACUGAACACUUUCUGUCUGCCCAUCCUUCAUCUGACUAUUUCACAUAUAGCAAUCUGUUUGUUCUUUAGAGGAACUACAUGAAUUACAUUCUUAUGUUUUCCUACCUUAGAAAUCUGCAAAUCAAGAAUUGAUAAAUUCAACAAGGCACAGUUCAUUCAGCCAGAAAAAUGACAUAAUGGUAAAACAGCAAAGAAGGACCAGUUUGAAUGCGAUUGAAGACUGGAGCUAGCAGGCAUUUUAAUCUUGAAGAAAUUUCCCAAUGGUAGCGUAAGUCAAUCAAAACAAGUGAAGCUAAUCCCCAAACCAGGAAGCUAAUCUGGCAGCAGCUUGAUCAUGGACUCUCCAGAUUCCAGACAGCCAGAGCUAUAAGGGAGGCCCUGUCAAAGAAAAAGAAUAAGAGAAGGAAGAGGAGAAGAAAUGAAACAGGAGUAAAAAGAAGAAGAGGAGAAAGUGGAAGAGGAGGGAGAAAAGAAUAAAGAAAAAGAAACUAGGUAUGGUUAUUCUAUUUCUUAAGCACGUGUUACAUGCAGAGCCUUUUUCUAACUAUUAUUCUAUCAACUU
rnacentral:lncRNA from 1 species